AACGAACGCUGGCGGCAGGCUUAACACAUGCAAGUCGAGCGCCCCGCAAGGGGAGCGGCAGUCGGGUGAGUAACGCGUGGGAAUCUACCGUGCCCUAAGGACUAGCUCCGGGAAACUGGAAUUAAUACCUUAUACGCCCUUCGGGGGAAGGAUUUAUCGGGGUACGAUGAGCCCGCGCUGAAUUAGCUAGUUGGUGGGGUAAAGGCCUACUAAGGGGACGAUCCAUAGCUGGUCUGAGAGGAUAAUCAGCCAAAUUGGGACUGAGACACGGCCCAAACUCUUACGGGAGGCAGCAGUGGGGAAUAUUGGACAAUGGGCGCAAGCCUGAUCCAGCCAUGCCGCGUGAGUGAUGAAUGACUAGGGUUGUAAAGCUCUUUCACCGGUGAAGAUAAUGACGGUAACCGGAGAAGAAGCCCCGGCUAACUUCGUGCCAGCCGCCGCAGUAACAC
rnacentral:rRNA from 1 species